UCGUCUAGAGGCCUAGGACAUCUCCCUUUCACGGAGGUAACAGGGGUUCGAAUCCCCUUGG
rnacentral:ncRNA from 13 species